rnacentral:rRNA from 1 species
AACGAACGCUGGCGGCGUGGAUUAGGCAUGCAAGUCGAACGAUCCCGCAAGGGAUAGUGGCGAAAGGGUGCGUAACACGUGGGCAAUCUGCCCCCGAAACGGGAAUAACUUCGGGAAACCGAAGCUAAUACCUGAUGACGCCGUGCUGCCGCAUGGUGGCACGGUGAAAGGCGUCCGCAAGGAUGCCGCUCGGGGAUGAGCCCGCGGCCUAUCAGCUAGUUGGUGAGGUAACGGCCCACCAAGGCGAUGACGGGUAGCCGGCCUGAGAGGGUGGUCGGCCACAUUGGGACUGAGACACUGCCCAGACUCCUACGGGAGGCUGCAGUCGAGGAUCUUCCGCAAUGGGGGAAACCCUGACGGAGCGACGCCGCGUGGAGGAUGAAGGCCUGGUCGUAACGUACCUCGUC